UGUCGUACGCGUUAUCCGUAAGGUUUUACAAAUUAGAAGACGACGGGGAUAACACGUGGGCAACCUGCCUGUAAGACUGGGAUAUCUUCGGGAAACCGGAGCUAAUACCGGAUAAUUCUUUCCACCUCAUGGGGGAAAGCUGAAAGACGGCAUCUCGCUGUCACUUACAGAUGGGCCCGCGGGGCCUCCUAGUUGGUGAGGUAACGGCUCACAAGGCAACGAUGCGUAGGCGACCUGAGAGGGUGAUCGGCCACACUGGUACUGAGACACGCCCCCGACUCCCAGGGUAGGCAGCGGUAGGGAAUUUUCGGCGAUGAACUAAAGCCUGACAAAUAACACCGGGGGGAGCGAUGAAGGUUUUCGGAUCGUCAAACUUUUUUUGUUAGGGAAGAGCAGGUACAAGAGUACCUGCUUGGUACYUUYGUACCUAACCAGAAAGCCAGGUCUCACUACGUGYCAGCAGCCGCGGUAAUACGAAGGUGGGACGCGUUGUCCCGAAAUUAUUGGACGUAAAAGCGCGCGCGAGCGSGCCCUUUAAGUCUGAUGUGAAAGCCCCCGCCUCACCCCGUGGAGUAUCCAUUGGAAACUGUGGGACUUGAGUGCAAGAAGAAAAAGAGUGGAAUUCCCCGUGUAGCGGUGAAAUGCGUAGAAAUGUGGAGGAACACCAGUGGCGAAGGCGGCUCUUUUGUCCUGUAACUGGCGCUUGACGCGCGGAAAGCGUGAGGAGCAAACCAGAUUAGAUCCCCCUGGGUAGUCCCCGCCGUAAACGAUGAGUUCUAAAGUGUUAGAGGGGUUUCCGCCCUUUCAGUCCUGCAGCAAACGAUUCAAGCACUCCGCAUGGGGGACAUACGGCCGCAAGGCUGGAACUUAAAAGUAAUUGAGGAAGGCCGCACCAGCGGGGGAACAUGUGUUUAAUUUCGAAGCAACGCGGAGAACCUUGGCAGGUUUUGACCUUCUUUGACACUUCUAGAGAUAGGGAUUUUCCCUUCGGGGGACAGAAUUACCAGUGGUGCAUGGUUGUUCUCCGCUCGUGUCGUGAGAUUUUGGGUUAAAUCCCCCCACGGGCCCAACCCUUGAUUUUUGUUGCCCACAUUAAAUUGGGCCCUUUAAGGUGACUCCCGGUGACAAACCGGAGGAAGGUGGGGAUGGCCUCAAAUCCUCAUGCCCCUUUUGGCCUGGGCCACACCCCUUCUACAAAGGGUGGUUCAAAGGGCAGCAAAACCGCGGGGUUGGGCAAAUCCCAUAAAACCUUUCUCAGUUCGGAUUUUUGGCUGCAACUCGCCUACAUGAAGCCGGAAUCCCUAGUAAUUGCGGGAUCACAUUCCGCGGGGAAUUCGUUCCCGGGCCUUGUUCCCACCCCCCGUCCCCCCCCGAGAGUUUGUUACCCCCGAAAGCGGUAGAGUU
rnacentral:rRNA from 1 species